AACGUAGGAGACAAACGUUAUCCGGAGUUACUGGGCGUAAAGGGCGUGUAGGUGGUUUCGUAAGUCUGGCGUGAAAUUUUUCGGCUUAACCGGGAAAGGUCGUCGGAUACUGCGGGACUGGAGGACGGUAGAGGCGUGUGGAAUUCCGGGUGUAGUGGUGAAAUGCGCAGAUAUCAGGAGGAACACCGGUGGCGAAGGCGGGUCUCUGGCUCGGUACUGACGCUGAGGUGCGAAAGCGUGGGGAGCAAACAGG
rnacentral:rRNA from 1 species